rnacentral:rRNA from 1 species
UACGAAGGGGGCUAGCGUUGUUCGGAAUUACUGGGCGUAAAGCGCGCGUAGGCGGUUUUGCAAGCCAGAGGUGAAAUGCCUGAGCUCAACUCAGGAAUGGCCUUUGGGACUGCGAGGCUUGAAUCCGGGAGAGGAUGGCGGAAUUCCCAGUGUAGAGGUGAAAUUCGUAGAUAUUGGGAAGAACACCGGUGGCGAAGGCGGCCAUCUGGACCGGUAUUGACGCUGAGGCGCGAAAGCGUGGGGAGCAAACAGG